AGCACCGAAUCCUGUAUCUUUGAUAUUAGGAAUUGUGGUGUAAAGGUUGUGUUUUUAAUUGACGAUUAUGCUCCAAAUUCACUUGAUUGUGAUGUUGUCCAGAGAGGGUGUUAGGCCCGUUGGAGUGUAUGAAACUUUUAUUGAUGCUUCCUAUGAGUCGGAUUGUUUGAGAAUGCAGUCCAAAUUGGGUGGUAAACUCCAUCUAAGGCUAAAUACUUGUGUGAGUCCGAUAGCAAACAAGUACCGUGAGGGAAAGUUGAAAAGAACUUUGAAGAGAGAGUUAAAUAGUACGUGAAAUCGCUUAGAGGUAAACGAGUGAAGCCGAAGAUGUUUUAUGGAAUUCAGUUAACUGUGUGUCUUCUUGAAUUUGGCGAAAUCCAACUAGGAAUUGCUAUUUUUGAGUUUUAAUAUACAUGCGGUUGAUGCACUUUCUGUAUAACAGUACUGCGACCGAUAGCGUCAUUUUUCUGUCGUAAUUUUGAAGGUGAUCAUUUUCUCGGAAAUGGUUUUAUAGCUGGUUACAUGGUUAAAUGAUUUAUUGGUGAUUGCGAUUAACGGUUAUUGACUGGUUUAAUGUUGAUGGUUCUUUGAUAGACUAAAAAUAGGCUGUUUUUGAACUAUUGAUGUUUUUCAUGGUUGAUUUGUUAAUUUAAAGUCUGCAGUGUAUGUAGGUUACUUACUCGUCCCGUCUUGAAACACGGACCAAGGAGUUUUAUAUGAUCGCGAGUCAAAGGGCUUUACGAAACCCCACGGCGAAAUUAAUGUAAAGGUUUACUUCGGUAAGCUGUGAUGUGACCUCGUGGAAACACAGAGUGCAACAUCGACCCGUCUAAAGAUGUUCGCAUCUGGGCGGAGUUUGAGCGAUCAUGUAGAGACCCGAAAGAUGGUGAACUAUGCUUGUGCAGGUUGAAGCCAGGGGAAACUCUGGUGGAGGACCGCCGCGGUUCUGACGUGCAAAUCGAUCGUCGGACAUGAGUAUAGGGGCGAAAGACUAAUCGAACCAUCUAGUAGCUGGUUCCCUCCGAAGUUUCCCUCAGGAUAGCUGACAUUUGUUGUUGUAGUUUUACCUGGUAAAGCGAAUGAUUAGAAGUAUUGGGGACGAAAUGUUCUCAACUUAUUCUCAAACUUUAAAUGGGUUCGAAGUGCGUCUUUCUUCAUUGAAGAUGUGCAU
rnacentral:rRNA from 1 species